AAGUUGUUUUGGUGUGUGGCGCAGGGACGCGCUGGGACGCAUCCUCUUCACCGACCCACACAAAUACAAGGACGCCAUAUACAAGAGGUGGACACAGCGGGAAAAGAAGAAAAAAGAACUUCAACAUUAGCGGAACAAAGAACGAGAAGAAUUAAGGAGCUGCCGUUGCAAAGGCGAAAGCUCCGCACCUACAUCUACAUCUACCACUAAUGGCCACCGGGAUACGUGUCUUAUUUAAUGAUUUCCGAGGCCCCUGGCGGUCAUGGGGGGCGGUGAACAGUGCCUGGGGUCAUGUUGCUUGUGUGGCCGGUGUGAAUGUGACCGGGGGCUUGGCAGGGAUGACUGGGGGCUUGGCAAGGGUGGCAGGGGGGGCGAGAUACAGCCAAUACCCCCCGGCGUACAUGCCCUCAAAACUGCAGGAGAUGGAGGACAGCGGGGAGAUGAAGGAAUUUGAGUAGCGGGCGGUCCGAGCGGCCCACAGCACCCACACCACCUCUGUACUCCACCACCCGCUUGUCAGCCUCUGACGAGACAGCCAGACGUUACCCUACGGAACGAGCUCAGA